rnacentral:rRNA from 1 species
AGUGAACGCUGGCGGUAGGCCUAACACAUGCAAGUCGAACGGCAGCACAGUAAGAGCUUGCUCUUACGGGUGGCGAGUGGCGGACGGGUGAGGCAUACAUCGGAAUCUACUUUUUCGUGGGGGAUAACGUAGGGAAACUUACGCUAAUACCGCAUACGACCUACCGGUGAAAGCAGGGGAUCUUCGGACCUUGCGCGAUUGAAUGAGCCGAUGUCGGAUUAGCUAGUUGGCGGGGUAAAGGCCCACCAAGGCGACGAUCCGUAGCUGGUCUGAGAGGAUGAUCGGCCACACUGGAACUGAGACACGGUCCAGACUCCUACGGGAGGCAGCAGUGGGGAAUAUUGGACAAUGGGCGCAAGCCUGAUCCAGCCAUGCCGCGUGGGUGAAGAAGGCCUUCGGGUUGUAAAGCCCUGUUGUUGGGGAAGAAAAACAGCAGGUUAAUACCCCGCUGUUCUGACGGUACCCAAAGAAAAAGCACCGGCUAACUACGUG